rnacentral:lncRNA from 1 species
CUGUAAAUAGCGCUUAAAACCACAGUGGAAAAGCCACAUGCUCCUGAUACACUUGGGGGGACAUAAAGGGAAACCCACACACCCAAGGAGGAGGGCUCUGGCCAUGCAAGGCUGAAGGCCCAGUGUACUGAUAUGAAAACUGAAGCUCAGACAGAAGAGGCGACGUUGCUUUCUUAACCACUGGAUUUGCAGUGCUGUGGUUCUCAGAAGAGGCCAGGACAGGUUAAUCCACUCACUUGGGAGGCAGCCGGUGCAGAGCUGAGAAUUUACCCCAGGCUACCAGCCUUCCGGCUGAGAGAGCAAGCUGACGCACGGUUCCUCAGCUGUCCCAUGGAGCCUGUUGCGGCCAUCCACCUCCUUCAAAGGAAGGAAAUCUUUCCAUAUCACCCAGGCUGAUCUUCAACGAACUGGACUCAAGUAUUCCUCCCACCUCGGCCUCCAGGGGGGACUGUUUGACGCCAGAGUGGAGACGGUCAGGCAGCCACUCGGGCCUUGGAAGCAAAGUCAAAAAUCUCUCCCAAAUCCUCUCUCCCUGCUCCUGUUGAUUGGGUGCCCUCACCUUGCUGCACAGCGGUUAUGAUGGACUGUCCCAUGACUGCUUUCCUGGUUUGAAAACUUGGACUCUUGAAUCAAAUGAAUUCCACUUCAUAUGCUUUUAUUUUGCAGAAACAUUUCAAGUUAACUUCUCAAGGAAAAUCCUUCUGAAAUGUAAAAUUACUGAAUUCCUCCUUGUUGAAUGUACAGCUGGUAUAAAAAUGGUGCUUUGUCGUCAUGAAGAAGGUGUAUUCUGGGAUCAAACCACCUGGCUGGAGAUGCUUACUAACCUCAGUUUCUUCAUCUGACCUUACCUUUCUAAAAGAAUAAGAAGAAGAUGAUACAUAUUCCUCUAAAGUCCCAACAGGAACCUUUUCCCCUCACUCCCUCCCCAGAGAUGUGUAUCAUUUCCAUGAGUGUCUGUACUUUUACAACAUGUGCAUAUUAAUAAACAAAAUAUGACAAAUUAUUUUGUCUUAAUAUUUGCAUAAAUCUAGCCAUACUCUACACCACUUUUGCAACUUUCACUAUUAUAUAUUUUGAAGAUUAUCCGUGUUUAUGCACAUAAGUUUAUCAUUUUAACUGUUGAAUAGUGUUUCAUUAUAUGAAUUAACCAUAAUUCAUCUAUUUCCCUGAGUGACAAUUAGGUUUCUUUUUGUUUUUAUGCUCUGAUGAACAAUCUUGCAAUUAUUAUCUUUGUAUAUGUCUUCAUGUAUAAGAAAUUCUCCAGGGUAGACACUUAGAAGUAAAGGGUCUGACUCAGAGAGUCUGUGUAUUUUAAAAUGUAUUGGUUAUUGUCAAAUUGUUCCUCAAAGUAGAUGUACCAAUUUACAUUCCUACAGUGGUAUAUAACAGUUUUUUUUUCUCCACAUCCUCUUCAACACUCGUCAUUACCAG